UACAGAGGUCCCAAGCGUUGUUCGGAUUCACUGGGCGUAAAGGGCGCGUAGGUGGCCGGGAAAGUUCGAUGUGAAAGCUCUGAGCUCAACUCAGAAAUGGCAUUGAAUACUAUUCGGCUGGAGGGUUGGAGGGGGGACUGGAAUUCUCGGUGUAGCAGUGAAAUGCGUAGAUAUCAAGUGGAACACCAGUGGCGAAGGCGAGUCUCUGGACAUUUCCUGACGCUGAGGCACGAAAGCCAGGGGAGCAAACGGG
rnacentral:rRNA from 1 species